CAGAAUGUUGACAGCUGUCACCUGCCAGUUUUUCUCAGCAGCUGUAUCCAAGACUCUCUGCAGGACUGACAGGCCUGCAGCGGAGGGGCGGACAGAGACACGUCAGCAUUCACAGUUAUCUCCACCCCUGACACCUAAACUCCAACUCCUCCCAGCCUUUCUCAACACUUUGACAACAUGCCCACUGACUGACAGAUCUUCAUCUAGACUGAACCAUCAUGAGAUGUGACUCUAACCUGCUCCAUGGCUGUCCCGAGAGCUGACAAUGGUUCCUCAGAACAUGUCAAGAAAUAGCUCCACCUGAGAAGCAAUCCAGGAGCCUGGGGUUUCGGAAGAAAUUCCAAGAAUAGCAGUGGAUCUUCUUGUAUGCAUCGUCUUCCUAGGCCCCAUGAAAAUGAAGCUCUCUGGAGUGUGUGACUGCAGGGAAAACUUCAGUUCAAAUGAACCUGGCAGCAAAGAGCAUGCCAAGAAAGCAAGAAAGGAAGAUGCGGCCUGUGCAGCAGCCUACACUGCGGCAGGGAGAGAGCUGCUUCCUCUCAGGCCACCAUACUUCUACAAUGCUCCUCAGAAUUGUCCUUCAACCCAGGAAGCCCUGGCAUAUCCUUUGAGAUCCAGUUAGAUGUGGAUUCCCGUAGAAAACCUUCCAGAAAAUGUCAUUCCUCCCUUCCUGUUCUGAUGCACUUUCUCAGCAUUUGUCUUUAGGAGACCAUGAACACCUUUAGGGAAAGGCUUGCUUGUAAAGAUUCUGAGCUUAGCUCUGGCUUUGACAUAGGCACACUGUUGGAUGUAUGUUGAUUUGCUUACCUGUGGCACCAGGUUGCCAGCACCUGCUUACAUGCAAUGAGGCUCAAAGCCUGGAGUCAGAUUGCCCAAGACCUAAACUCACUGUUAUGCACAGUAAAUAGGGGAGCCGUUGUUUUUUUCACAUGGCACAACCCAAGUAUGGGGUGGGCAGCCUUCUCUACAUGACCUUCCUGGAUUUCGAAAGCUUGCUCUGAGUUGCACAGCCGGUAAAUACCAAACAAGAGAAAAUUAACCACCUGCCUGGGGCCCUUGUAGGGAUUUCCCUCUAUGCAAUCACACAAGAGUUUCAAAAAAUUAGCUUGAAGUUUGACUACAUUAAUGGCUUAUCCCACAAAAUUGUGAAUAGAAUUUAUUUAUCUUUUAAAUUAAUUUUUAACUGCAUCCUCUAUUUAUCCUUUGAAAAUCCUGUAAACAUACGUAAAGCAUCCUGAUCAUACUCACCCCUCCCUCUUUUCACACACCUUCAACAUUUCCUUGUCCUAUUUUCAUGUGUUCCCCAUUUUUUAAAUCAUCUACCGAGACCAAUUAGCACUGCCUAUUGGAAUGUUCACUGAUCUUGUUGACUUGAUCUGACACAGGUAGCCGCAGCUGCCAUGUUUCAGGAGUACAAUGGCCCUGCCAUGUCUGGAAAACACCAUUUCGUGGCAUUCCUCCUCAUCCUCCAAUUCUCACUGUCUUGACUUCAUGCUGUCCCAUGAUGGUCCCAGAACCUCGAGGGGAUGGAGAUGCAGACACAGAUGUCUCAUUCAGGGUUAAGUCCUUGAUAGUCACGUAUGCUCAGCAGGGUCCUGGCUAGUUUUAUGUCAUCUGAAAGGAGGGCACCUCAAUUGAGAAAAUGCCUCCAGAAGACCCAGCUGUAGGGCUUUUUGUUAAUUUGUGAUUGAUGUGGGAAGUUCCAGGCUAUUGUGGGUGAUGCCAUCCCUGAGCUGGGGGUUCUGGAAUCUAUAAGAAAAGAAGCUGGGAAAGCCAUGAGGAACAAGGCAGUAAGCAGCCCUCCUCUGCGACUUCUACAUCAGCCCCAGCCUCCAGGUUCCUACCCUUUUGAGUUUCUGCCCUCCCUGCUUUUUGAUGAUGAACUGUUCAAUGGAACUAUGAAUGAAAUAAACC